UGAGGAAUAUUGGACAAUGGGUGAGAGCCUGAUCCAGCCAUCCCGCGUGAAGGACGACGGCCCUAUGGGUUGUAAACUUCUUUUAUACUGGGAUAAACCUACUCUCGUGAGAGUAGCUGAAGGUACAGUAUGAAUAAGCACCGGCUAACUCCGUGCCAGCAGCCGCGGUAAUACGGAGGGUGCAAGCGUUAUCCGGAUUUAUUGGGUUUAAAGGGUCCGUAGGCGGACUCGUAAGUCAGUGGUGAAAUCUCAUAGCUUAACUAUGAAACUGCCAUUGAUACUGCGGGUCUUGAGUAAAGUAGAAGUGGCUGGAAUAAGUAGUGUAGCGGUGAAAUGCAUAGAUAUUACUUAGAACACCAAUUGCGAAGGCAGGUCACUAUGUUUUAACUGACGCUGAUGGACGAAAGCGUGGGGAGCGAACA
rnacentral:rRNA from 1 species